AGUGAACGCUGGCGGUAGGCCUAACACAUGCAAGUCGAACGGCAGCACAGUAAGAGCUUGCUCUUACGGGUGGCGAGUGGCGGAUGGGUGAGGAAUACAUCGGAAUCUACUUUUUCGUGGGGGAUAACGUAGGGAAACUUACGCUAAUACCGCAUAUGACCUACGGGUGAAAGCAGGGGUUCUUCGGACCUUGCGCGAUUGUAUUAGCUGAUGUCGGAUUAGCUAGUUGGCUGGGUAAAGGCCCACCAAGGCGACGAUCCGUAGCUGGUCUGAGAGGAUGAUCAGCCACACUGGAACUGAGACACGGUCCAGACUCCUACGGGAGGCAGCAGUGGGGAAUAUUGCACAAUGGGCGCAAGCCUGAUCCAGCCAUACCGCGUGAGUGAAGAAGGCCUUCGGAUUGUAAAGCCCUUUUGUUGGGAAAGAAAAGCAGCAGGUUAAUACCCCGCUGUUCUGACGGUACCCAAAGAAUAAGCACCGGCUAACUUCGUG
rnacentral:rRNA from 1 species